rnacentral:rRNA from 1 species
ACGGAAGGCAGCAGUGAGGAAUAUUGGUCAAUGGCCGAGAGGCUGAACCAGCCAUGCCGCGUGAAGGUUAAGGUCCUAUGGAUUGUAAACUUCUUUUGUACGAGAGCAAUAAGUUCUACGUGUAGAGCGAUGAGAGUAUCGUACGAAUAAGCAUCGGCUAACUCCGUGCCAGCAGCCGCGGUAAUACGGAGGAUGCAAGCGUUAUCCGGAUUUAUUGGGUUUAAAGGGUGCGUAGGCGGUAUGAUAAGUCAGCGGUGAAAUGUUCUCGCUCAACGAGAAAAGUGCCGUUGAUACUGUUGUACUAGAGUUCGGAUGCCGUGGGAGGAAUGUGUAGUGUAGCGGUGAAAUGCUUAGAUAUUACACAGAACACCGAUUGCGAAGGCAUCUCACGAAUCCGACACUGACGCUGAGGCACGAAAGUGUGGGGAUCAAACAGGAUUAGAUACCCUGGUA